GACGAACGCUGGCGGCGUGCUUAACACAUGCAAGUCGAACGGAAAGGCCCUGCUUUUGUGGGGUGCUCGAGUGGCGAACGGGUGAGUAACACGUGAGUAACCUGCCCUUGACUUUGGGAUAACUUCAGGAAACUGGGGCUAAUACCGGAUAGGAGCUCCUGCUGCAUGGUGGGGGUUGGAAAGUUUCGGCGGUUGGGGAUGGACUCGCGGCUUAUCAGCUUGUUGGUGGGGUAGUGGCUUACCAAGGCUUUGACGGGUAGCCGGCCUGAGAGGGUGACCGGGAACAUUGGGACUGAGAUACGGCCCAGACUCCUACGGGAGGCAGCAGUGGAGAAUAUUGCACAAUGGGCGGAAGCCUGAUGCAGCAACGCCGCGUGCGGGAUGACGGCCUUCGGGUUGUAAACCGCUUUCGCCUGUGACGAAGCGUGAGUGACGGUAAUGGGUAAAGAAGCACCGGCUAACUACGUG
rnacentral:rRNA from 1 species